AACAUACAGAAGUUAAAAUACUAAAACAAAUUAGGAUUACCUCAACUUUCUAAAUUUAUGAAUUAACUAGAUGGAAGGCCUUGACCACUUGCAAUCUCUCAGUCUUGGUGUGUUUUCUCUAACAAUGACCCCAUUCAUGGGAAUAUUGUGACAAUUGCUGUGAUAGGAAACCCUUGUCUCUUGUGCUAAGGCUUAAGGAUAGAAUUGACUUACAUUUUUAUACUAUAUUUUAUAUGCCCAAACUGGAUUCUGCAUAUUGCACAAAUUUGCAGCGUUUGAGGUUUAUUGCCUGAUGAACAUUCAGUGUCGCCCCCCCCCCCCUUCAGACACCUGCUCACUGAAUAGAUUAAAGCUUGGAAACCCACUACAAUGUAGGUCACUGAAUAAGAGAUUAUGCACCUUUUUUCUCAGGAGGUUAGAGCUAAACUUAGAGGUCUGCAGAUGCAAUAAUGUCCCGUUGUCUACAGGAGGUGGUUUGAAUGUCUCUGUUGUUGUUGUUUUGUACCUACCCCUUUCCAUGGGAUACUACAGUCAGGAGGAAAUGAGUACUGUAUGUCACCAAUUUCAGAAUUUCAAAACUUUGGCAGUUCUCUCCAGCCCAGUACUGACUGCCCUGAUGGGCACCAGCUCUCCAAGAAAUCAGGCUGACAGAGGUAUUUCCCAGCUCUGCUACUUGAAAUACUUUGCAUUGUGUUUAAAUUGCAGAAAAACAGAGGGAUCUCCCACACGUAUUGCCAUUUGCUCUUUCACAAAUGUGAGCAAGUGACUAAUAGUUAACAUGUCUCUUCUCCUUGGGGUCUAGCAAGGAAGCAAGGGACACAUCAGAACAUAAGAAAUGGCCUUUGUAGUUCAGCAUCCUCUUUUCCACAGUGGCCAACCAGAUGCCUCUUGGGAAGCUCAGCAGUCGAAUGAGGUAAUAUUGCCUUCUCAGCAACCUGUAGUGUAAGGCAUGCUGCCUCUGAUCCUGAAGAAGGCAUAUGACUAUCAUGACUAAAAAGCCAUUUAUAGUCUUACCUGUGGACUAGUUUAGUGCUGGCUGUACCCACCUCUU